rnacentral:rRNA from 1 species
UGGCAACGGGUGAGUAACACGUGGGUGAUCUGCCCUGCACUCUGGGAUAAGCCUGGGAAACUGGGUCUAAUACCGGAUAGGACCAUGCUUUAGUGUGUGUGGUGGAAAGUUUUUUCGGUGUAGGAUGAGCCCGCGGCCUAUCAGCUUGUUGGUGGGGUAAUGGCCUACCAAGGCGGCGACGGGUAGCCGGACUGAGAGGUUGGUCGGCCACAUUGGGACUGAGAUACGGCCCAG